rnacentral:rRNA from 1 species
GACGAGCGCUGGCGGCGUGCUUAACACAUGCAAGUCGAGCGGUAAGGCCCGUUUCGGGGGUACACGAGCGGCGAACGGGUGAGUAACACGUGGGUGACCUGCCCUCAGCUCUGGGAUAAGCCUGGGAAACCGGGUCUAAUACUGGAUAUGACUCCAUGACGCAUGUUGGUGGGGUGGAAAGCCUUGUGCGGCUGAGGAUGGGCCCGCGGCCUAUCAGCUUGUUGGUGGGGUGAUGGCCUACCAAGGCGACGACGGGUAGCCGGCCUGAGAGGGCGACCGGCCACAC